rnacentral:rRNA from 1 species
UACGUAGGGGGCGAGCGUUGUCCGGAAUUAUUGGGCGUAAAGAGUACGUAGGCGGUUUGUUAAGCGCAAGGUGAAAGGCAUAGGCUCAACCAAUGUGAGCCUUGCGAACUGACAGACUUGAGUGCAGGAGAGGAAAGCGGAAUUCCUAGUGUAGCGGUGAAAUGCGUAGAUAUUAGGAGGAACACCGGUGGCGAAGGCGGCUUUCUGGACUGAAACUGACGCUGAGGUACGAAAGCGUGGGGAGCAAACAGG